GUCGCUUCACUGCUCUACACCUCAGCUUCCUGGCCGAGCCCAACAGGAAGGAUCAUCCCCGCCCAGGAUGGCAGGGCAGGAGGAAGCACCUGUACCCCCAAAGCUGGGAGGGAAGGCGCUGUAGGCUCCAAACUGGAGGGCGAUGGGGCUGAACAUGCCCAACUGGGUGGCCACCUGCUGCAUGCGGCGGAGACCUCGCUCCUUCUCAGUGUCAGCAAACUUCACCACCAGGCUGGACGAGGCACCCUGGGCACGGGCCCACACACAGGUCAGAGGUGCAGGGUCAGGGUCUCUCCUCCCCAAAGCCCUCAGGACCUG
rnacentral:lncRNA from 1 species